rnacentral:rRNA from 1 species
UACGAAGGGGGCUAGCGUUGUUCGGAAUCACUGGGCGUAAAGGGCGCGUGAGGCGGCUUUUCGAAGUCGGGGGUGAAAGCCUGUGGCUCAACCACAGAAUUGCCUUCGAUACUGUUAGGCUUGAGACCUGGAAGAGGUGAGUGGAACUGCGAGUGUAGAGGUGAAAUUCGUAGAUAUUCGCAAGAACACCAGUGGCGAAGGCGGCUCACUGGCCCGAGUACUGACGCUGAGGCACGAAAGCGUGGGGAGCAAAGCAG